CCUGAUGGCUUAGUUGGUAAAGAAUCUGCCUGUGGUGCAGGAGACCCUGAUUCAAUUCCUGGGUCAGGA
rnacentral:tRNA from 1 species